GACGAACGCUGGCGGCGUGCUUAACACAUGCAAGUCGAACGGAAAGGCCCUGCUUUUGUGGGGUGCUCGAUUGGCGAACGGGUGAGUAACACGUGAGUAACCUGCCCUUGACUUUGUGAUAACUUCAGGAAACUGGGGCUAAUACCGGAUAGGAACUCCUGCUGCAUGGUGGUGGUUGGAAAGUUUCGGCGGUUGUGUAUGGACUCGCGGCUUAUCAGCUUGUUGGUGGGGUAGUGGCUUACCAAGGCUUGGACGGGUAGCCGGCCUGAGAGGGUGACCGGCCACAUUGGGACUGAGAUAAGGCCCAGACUGGUAAGGGAGGGAGAAGUGGGGAAUAUUGAAAAAUGGGCGGAAGCCUGAUGAAGAAACGCCGCGUGCGGGAUGACGGCCUUAGGGGUGUAAACCGAUUGCGCAUGUGACGAAGCGUGAGUGAAGGUAAUGGGUAAAGAAGCACCGGCUAAAUAAGUG
rnacentral:rRNA from 1 species